UUUUUUUUUUUUUUUUUUUGUGUAGCUUAAUUGAAAUCCGAGUUUCAAAAAGUGCUAGUGGUUUCAACAUGGCCUAGUCUUUUCCUGUGUAUGUUACUGGUUGGUGGCCUAGCUAUAUGUCAUGUUCAACACUCAUUAAAAGGUAGUUAAUAGGUGUCAGUGUCUAGGGACAUGAAGGUGGGAGAAAAGUAGUGCUCAGCAUUUUUUCCGUUUGGGAGGGGAGAACAGAAAAGAGGAGAAAGAAGACAUUUUUCCUCAUGACUCAUUUUCUUGGUUUGUGUCUGUCUGAAAUGCUAGUUAAGGUCUUUAUGGGAUCUUAAGAUGGACAGGAGUUAAUUUGAGAGUACUUAAAUAGGGAGUUACUUAAAGUUCUCCAGAAACGUAUGAGGAGCAGCAGAAGAGCUGGAUAACUCAUCAGGAUGUAGCUCAUAGUAUUUUCUUGUCUGAAGUUGAACUUAGUGCUAAGGAUGUGAAAGUCAGUACGAAACACCUAAAAGUUUAGUCCUUCCUCAAUAUUUUCUCACAAUUAAUUUGGAGCUUUUAGCUGUAGUCAAGCACUUCAUGGUUAAAUUAGUUUUUAAAUACCUGUUCCCAUAAAUGAUCUUCUACAGUUAAUGAUAAUAAACUGUUUAUAAAGAAACAAAGUAUUCUAGGCAGAUCAGGUUCUCAGGAGAUGUGGUUUGUCCACGUUUACUGUGUGUAUUUAAUGUGAAGAACAAAAAAAAAAAAAAAAUCGGUAAAAUACAGGAUUUUAACCCAGGUUGAUUGCUGACUUAAGCUAACUCUGAUUUGUAAGUAAUUAGUCAUGGGGGUUUCCUGCAUUAGGAUAAAAGAUCAGUGACAGGAACAAUGCGAAUGUGUGGUCCCAGGUGAUGAUGAAAUGCAGGUAGGUAGAUAGCGCAUUACUUGCUUUACUGCUAGUAGAAUUUUGGUUAGUGUCAAAUUUUAAUUCAUAGUGGGCUUUCUUGAUUGGGGAGGAUAGUUAGGUCCUGAGAACAUCUGCUCACUUUAAAAUGUCUGAAAACUUUGAUAACAAAUUUUACUUGAAUGCGUCUUGAAAAAAUGCGAAGUUUUGCCAUACAUCCAUCUAAUGAAUGCAGAUUAAUAAUCUCAUGAGAUUUCCUUCCCAUCCCCCAAACAAUAAUCUUUUUGGGUUUGUGCAAGAUACUCUUGAGUCAAGUCAUCCUGACACCAGCCUUAUGAUGAUUACUGAGGUUUGUGCUGGUGUGGUUUUUGGUCAGUUAUUGAUUACAGACGUUAAUAACUCAUAUUGUUCUAACCAAGCAGAAACAAUUCAUUCUUUAUAAUGAGGUCACUGAACUCCUACUUUGUAAUCAUUGACAGGGGAUGAAAUUUUAUGUCGAAAACAUACUGUACCUAACACAUCCUGUGGUGAUUUGUUCUUGUUGGUUUUGGGGGGUUUGGUUGGCGUUUUGGGGUUUUGUUUUGGUGGGGUUUUUUUUUUGGGGAGGGGGUUGCUUUGUUUUUUUAAGGAUCGUAUGAAAACGUUAUAAAACAGUAGGCCUA
rnacentral:lncRNA from 1 species